rnacentral:rRNA from 1 species
CCUACGGGAGGCAGCAGUGGGGAAUUUUGGACAAUGGGCGAAAGCCUGAUCCAGCAAUGCCGCGUGUGGGAAGAAGGCCUUCGGGUUGUAAACCACUUUUGUACGGAACGAAACGGUUCGCUUUAAUACAGUGGGCUAAUGACGGUACCGUAAGAAUAAGCACCGGCUAACUACGUGCCAGCAGCCGCGGUAAUACGUAGGGUGCGAGCGUUAAUCGGAAUUACUGGGCGUAAAGCGUGCGCAGGCGGUUAUAUAAGACAGUUGUGAAAUCCCCGGGCUCAACCUGGGAAUUGCAUCUGUGACUGUAUAGCUAGAGUACGGUAGAGGGGGAUGGAAUUCCGCGUGUAGCAGUGAAAUGCGUAGAUAUGCGGAGGAACACCGAUGGCGAAGGCAAUCCCCUGGACCUGUACUGACGCUCAUGCACGAAAGCGUGGGGAGCAAACAGGAUUAGAUACCCUGGUAGUCCACGCCCUAAACGAUAGUCAACUGUUGUUGGGUGCAUUAGUACUCAGUAACGAAGCUAACGCGUGAAGUUGACCGCCUGGGGAGUACGGCCGCAAGGUUGAAACUUAAAGGAAUUGACGG